UACAGAGGGUGCAAGCGUUAAUCGGAAUUACUGGGCGUAAAGGGUGCGUAGGUGGUUUAAUAAGUCAGAUGUGAAAGCCCCGGGCUUAACCUGGGAACGGCAUUUGAAACUAUUAGGCUAGAGGUUGGUAGAGGGAAGUGGAAUUUCCGGUGUAGCGGUGAAAUGCGUAGAUAUCGGAAGGAACAUCAGUGGCGAAGGCGACUUCCUGGACCAAUACUGACACUGAGGCACGAAAGCGUGGGGAGCAAACAGG
rnacentral:rRNA from 1 species